rnacentral:SRP_RNA from 1 species
ACCGGGGAGGUAGCGGCGUCCUGUACCUACAAUCCGCUAUAGUAGGGGUGAUGGUUUUCUUGAGGGGUGGUCGUUGUAGAGCUGCCCUUGGUAAGUGGUGUUGAUGUUUGGGUCUUGCGCAACAGGACUCUUCGAACCGUGUCAGGCCGGAGACGGAGCAGCACUAAGAGGAAUCUCCUGUGUGCCGCAAGGGUGCCUGAGCUGAGCUAACUGCCAAGGUAACGUCUAUGAUG